GUAAAAAGAAAAUGGAAGAACAAUAUUUCUCUUAGAUUGACUCCGAGAAGAGGCCCACCAAGCUGGGUACCGAAGAAGUUUGGCCGCGUUUCUUUGAGCAUACGUUUUCUUGUAGAGCUGUCAAGAUUUAGAAGUCUGGGCAUCGCCGUCGCCCCUCCUCUACUCUGGGCGUCGCCGUUUUACAUCCAAUGCCCAGCACCCCGCAUCGCCCAUUUGUGCCCAGCACCCGCCGUCACGCCUCCUCUGCUCUGGGUCCCACGUCGCCGUUGAACAUCCUCAGCCCAGCACCCUGCGUCGUCGUCUCUUAUCCUCUGCAAGACAAACAACUUUGCAAGAAUUAGAGCUUGAUCGCUGCUUGGAUCAGUCACUUCCCUGCUUGCAUGGGAUUGGUGUAAUGAUGGCGUUCUUGUCAGUCCAAGCCACUUAUAUGGAGAUGCCUUUGGUUCUGAUUUUCCUCACGUCCCUUUUCCAAAUUUUACAUUAUUCUAUCUGCAGUGGUGAGUAUUUAUGGAGAUGCCUUAGCUAUAUUAGAUCUAUCUUUUACAAUUUGGCUAAUUGUAGUUGGGUAAACUUAUUAUGAGCAUUAACUUUGAAAAUGGUUUUUAGUUGGAAUGGGCAGGAUAGCAUUGUUAAUAUAGGCUACGAUGAGAUGCAUGGUGUUUAUGGUAGAGUUGUAUCCAGAGGAUUGUUAAAGGAUUCACUGAAGAUGUUACUCUUUUUGCAAAGAUUUUGAUUGGAUUUCAUAAUGUUCAUUCAUGUUAUGUAUUUAGAAAACUCAUGUAUUUGUAUAACUGGAAUGAUUUUAAGUUAUGGGAAUCUGUUCUUAUAUUUGCAUUA